rnacentral:rRNA from 1 species
AUUAAGCACUCCGCCUGGGGAGUACGGUCGCAAGACUGAAACUCAAAGGAAUUGACGGGGGCCCGCACAAGCGGGGGAGCAUGGGGUUUAAUUCGAAGCAACGCGAAAAACCUUACCAGGUCUUGACAUCCUCUGACAACCCUAGAGAUAGGGCUUCCCCUUCGGGGGCAGAGUGACAGGUGGUGCAUGGUUGUCGUCAGCUCGUGUCGUGAGAUGUUGGGUUAAGUCCCGCAACGAGCGCAACCCUUGAUCUUAGUUGCCAGCAUUCAGUUGGGCACUCUAAGGUGACUGCCGGUGACAAACCGGAGGAAGGUGGGGAUGACGUCAAAUCAUCAUGCCCCUUAUGACCUGGGCUACACACGUGCUACAAUGGGCAGAACAAAGGGCAGCGAAGCCGCGAGGCUAAGCCAAUCCCACAAAUCUGUUCUCAGUUCGGAUCGCAGUCUGCAACUCGACUGCGUGAAGCUGGAAUCGCUAGUAAUCGCGGAUCAGCAUGCCGCGGUGAAUACGUUCCCGGGCCUUGUACACACCGCCCGUCACACCACGAGAGUUUGUAACACCCGAAGUCGGUGAGGUAACCUUUUGGAGCCAGCCGCCGAAGGUGGGACAGAUGAUUGGGGUGAAGUCGUA